GACGAACGCUGGCGGCAGGCCUAACACAUGCAAGUCGAGCGCCCCGCAAGGGGAGCGGCGGACGGGUGAGUAACGCGUGGGAAUUUUCCUCAAGGUACGGAACAACCCAGGGAAACUUGGGCUAAUACCGUAUGAUGCAGAGAUGCCAAAGAUUUAUCGCCUUGGGAUAAGCCCGCGUCAGAUUAGGUAGUUGGUGGGGUAACGGCCUACCAAGCCUGCGAUCUGUAGCUGGUCUGAGAGGACGAUCAGCCACACUGGGACUGAGACACGGUCCAGACUCCUACGGGAGGCAGCAGUGGGGAAUCUUGCGCAAUGGGCGAAAGCCUGACGCAGCCAUGCCGCGUGAGUGAUGAAGGUCUUAGGAUUGUAAAGCUCUUUCGCCCGUGACGAUGAUGACGGUAACGGAGAAGAAGCCCCGCUAACUUCGUGCCAGCCGCCGCAGUAAC
rnacentral:rRNA from 1 species